rnacentral:lncRNA from 1 species
AUGCUCCAAGACGCAUUUGGAGGCAGGAAAAUGCCUGAAGUCCCUCAAUGGGCGGAUGUCACAGUGCUGGGCGAGCCACGGUGUGGACUCGGGGCCUCACUUUGGGAGCUCAGACGUGUCGCUGGCCCUGACGCUCAUUGGUCUGAAGGACAAAUCGAAGGCCCUCUGGUCACGGAAGCUCUGGGCUUUGUACUUGGCCAGGUACCUGGACCUCCCGCGACGCUCGGGCUCCGAUGCCUCCAUCCUGUCCUGCGGGGCCCUCUCAGCCCCAGGGUGGCCUGGGGGCCCCUCCUGGGCCGGGGCCUGGGGAGUCCCGCAGCCCCCAGCCUCAGGCGUGGGCUCAGUUGGGCUCUUUCCCAGCCCCAGGGGAGAGGUGGCAAUGCUCUUGCCCCUGAGGGGGCGGCUUCCUGGGGGUGGGUGCCCGGCGCUGGGCUCCCCCAGGCCACUGCCCCCAGACUGUCCACCAUCCCUGGGGGCUGGGCUUCUGGGCCCCCCACUCCUGCCAGCAGCAUCCACUCCCUCAGCUAUGCCACUAAUGGGCUGCUCCCAGGCCCGAGGCGCCAUCCCACUUGUCAAGGCCUGUUCCCGACCCUGUUCCCAAGCCCGUUCCUGAGCCCCUUUCUGGGUCUGCCUCUGAGCCUCUAUCUGGGUCUGCUCCCAGACCUGAUCCCGAGCCCGUUCCUGAGCCCCUUUCUGGGCCUGUUCCCGAGCCCCUUUCUGGGCCUGACCCUGAGCCCGCGUUCCUAGAGCCCUUUCUGGUCUGUUCCUGAGCCCAUUCUGGACCUUUAUCUGGGUCGCCAUGGCCU